rnacentral:rRNA from 1 species
UACGUAGGAUGCAAGCGUUGUCCGGAAUUAUUGGGCGUAAAGAGCGCGCAGGCGGUUUUUCAAGUCAGAUGUGAAAUAUCCGGGCUUAACCCGGAGGGGUCAUUUGAAACUGAGAGACUAGAGUACAGCAGAGGAUAGCGGAAUUCCCGGUGUAGUGGUGAAAUGCGUAGAUAUCGGGAGGAACACCAGUGGCGAAGGCGACUACCUGGCCUGUUCUUGACGCUGAGGCGCGAAAGCUAGGGGAGCAAACGGG